rnacentral:rRNA from 1 species
ACGUAGGGCGCAAGCGUUGUCCGGAAUUAUUGGGCGUAAAGAGCUCGUAGGCGGUUCGUCGCGUCUGCUGUGAAAUCCUCAGGCUCAACCUGGGGCGUGCAGUGGGUACGGGCGGACUAGAGUGCGGUAGGGGUGACUGGAAUUCCUGGUGUAGCGGUGGAAUGCGCAGAUAUCAGGAGGAACACCGAUGGCGAAGGCAGGUCACUGGGCCGCAACUGACGCUGAGGAGCGAAAGCAUGGGGAGCGAACAGGAUUAGAUACCCUGGUAGUCCAUGCCGUAAACGUUGGGCACUAGGUGUGGGGUCCAUUCCACGGAUUCCGUGCCGCAGCAAACGCAUUAAGUGCCCCGCCUGGGGAGUACGGCCGCAAGGCUA